ACAGAUGAGACCUGUCUCAAAAAACAAAAAACAAAAAAAACAAAAAAGAAAACAAAAAAAGAAUUGUGGGAGAAGAUGGUGGCUGCUGCACAAUCCUGGGUUCCCGGGCCCUGCCAAUGUCAUGUUCUGCCAUUACUGCAAUAGCCACAUCUGUGUGUCACGGCCCACUCCAUUGCCAGCUUCAUCAUGCCCUCAUACCUCAUGAGGUGGACGUUCCUCAGUCAGUGGGAUUGUGGCCACUGUGUUUGGAGCAACAGGAUUCCUGGGCCAAUGUGUUGUCAACCACCUUGGACGUAUGGGGUCACAGGUGAUCAUUCCCUAUCGGUGUGAUACGUAUGACAUCAUGCACCUUCGUCCCAUGGGUGACCUGGGCUAGCUUCUGUUUCUGGAAUGGGACGCGAGAGAUAAAGAUUCUAUCCGACGAGUAGUGGAACACAGCAAUGUGGUCAUCAAUCUUGUUGGAUGAGACUGGGAAAUCAAAAGCUUUGAUUUUGAGGAUGUUUUUGUGAAGAUCCCCCAAGCAAUUGCUCAGGUGUCCAAGGAAGUCGAAGUUGGAAAAUUCAUUCAUGUUUCGCAUCUGAAUGCGAAUAUUAAAAGCUCUUCUAGGUAUUUGAGAAAUAAGGCUGUUGGAGAGAAAGCAGUGAGAGAUGCAUUUCCAGAAGCCAUUAUCAUAAAGCUGUUGGACAUCUUUGGAAGAGAGGAUAGAUUCCUUAAUUAUUUUGCAAAUAUGUGUUGGUUUGGUGCUAUACCCCUUGUUUCCUUGGGCUGGAAGGCAGUUAAACAACCGCUAUGUCGUAGAUGUAUCCAAAGGAAUUGUUAAUGCAGUUAAGGAUCCUGAUGCCCGUGGGAAAACCUUUGCUUUCAUUGGGCCAGAUGGGUACCUCCUCUUUGACCUGGUGAAGUACAUCUUUGCUGUAGCUCACAGACUCUUCCUCCCGUACCCCUUGCCACGUUUUGCCUAUCAGUGGGUAGCAAGAGACUUUGAAAUAAGCCCAUUUGAGCCCUGGACAACAAGGGAUAAAGUGGAGCGGAUUCACAUCACAGACGUGACAUUGUCUCACCUGCCCAGCUUAGAAGACCUUGGUAUUCAGGCACCACCACUGGAACUCAAGGCCAUCGAGGUGCUGCGGCGUCAGCGCACUUACUGCUGGCUGGCUGCUGAAAUUGAGGAUGUGAAACCGGCCAAGACCGUCACCAUUUAGUGCCUCCUGAGUAACUCUUGGUUUUGGUGUCUUUUGGGUCAGCCCAUGUGGUUUGAGCACCUAGCCAGGUGGUCUCUUUAGAGAAUCCUGUACACAGUGAAUAGGAUUUCACCAUUGAGGUUUAAAAAAAAAAGAAUGAGUGUCGAGUAAUAACAGACUCUUCAAAGAGUUCGAAAAAAUGAAUCUCUUGUCAGUGUAAUUUUAAUAUAGUUAUUUAGAGUAUAGUAUAGGGAGUGUUGGUGACUUAAGAUUUAGGGCAUGAGCUGUGAAACUAGAGAGGGAAAUUGUGUUUAAAAACUGAUUAUGGACAUGUAAAAGAGUCUAAGUAACAUUUUAUGGGAAGUCAAGAUUUAUUUUUCUUUUUUAUUUAGAAAACGGGCUGUCUCAGUUUCAGUCUUGGAAGUUCUUUCUCCUCUUUUGUACUAGAAAUGUGGUAAUCUUGCCUUCAGAAGAAGCAGAGAGGUUCUCUGUAGAGAAAAAGAAAAGGUUCGGGUGGGGCCAAGAAGAAUACCUGCCCCACCUCUCCAAGUUUAAGUGAGCUGGCAGUUUAAGGUGGGAGGAGAGAAAAGGUUCUUCUGCGGAAAGCAUGCGUUCAGUGUGGAAGAAAAGGAAAAGUGAUUCUAUUUCUACCCUAAGAGGAAGAAACCCCACUACGGCGGGUAACUAAGCCCAGAGCACGCACAGUGGGAAUAUUAGGUAGGGAGAGUGAAAGUACCUGCAUGGGGCCUACCUUGAGUGUGAGACUUGUAGACCUUACUUGGAGAUUUUAUAAGCAGGAAGGAGCUGUUUCAACAUGUCUGAGGGGGAGCCAAAACCCUGAGGCAGCUGAAAGGUGGUUUUUAUUUGCUUUUUAUUUAUUUUUUAUUUUUUGUUUUUUCUUUAAUAAGUGGGAAGGAGUGGAAUAUUCCUCAAAACCUAUUACCCUUUGAGAAUGUUUUUUGCACCUACUAUGUGCUAGGUACUAUGCAAAAGACUCCAUGGCCAAAAAUAGAUGAGUCAAGACGAGAUGUUAGGUCUCCACCAAGGAAGAUGUGCAAAGGAGAAGUGGUUUGCUAUAGGAAUACUUGGAGAAGUAGCCCGCAGAGGUGGUCAGUGCCAUGUUACAAACACCAGGCCCCACAGAGAAAGGAGAGCUCACUCGCAGCUGGGGUGUGCUUUUGGAUUUGAACAUGGAGAAAUGGCUCAGGGAAGCAAGGAACAUGGGCCUUGACAUUGGCAUUAGAAUAUGGGGGAUAAUUACGUGAUUUUCUGAAUAAAAACCAUUAGGACAGGUGAUUUGAUAAUACUUGUUCACCACUGGGCAUAAUGAAUAAAAACUUGCCUGGCAAUAGGAGGCACUUAAUAAAUGUUUGAACUGAACUGAAAUUAGAAAACAUGGUCACCAGGAACAUGGCAGACCGUUUACGUAGUUAUAUCAUUCCAACACCUCUGAAAGGAGUAUUAUACCUAUUUUUUGGUUGAGGAAACAGAAGCCUGGACAGGCUGGAAACUUUCCCCAGGCCAUAAUGAUAUUACUUGUAGAUCUAGAAUUGACACCCAGGCCGUGCACCUUAGCCUGCCUACGUGGUGAGUAAAGUGUCUGUACCAUGCUAGGAGCUCAUGAUCCACUUGACUCUUUCAGAAGCCCGGCUAUGUUGAUCUGAACUAGGGCAGUAGUAAUAAAAAAGAUGAAAAGCCUAUUCAGUUUUAUAUCUUAAGUUUUCUUGUGUUUUAAAAUCUUGUAAGAUUAAGAAUUAUUAGUGGUGAAAUGACAUAAAGAAUAGUGGUGUCCAGCAGACAUUGUGAGAAAGGAAUGUGGGCUCUGAGCAGGUUCUGUGUGUGUGCUUGGCUUCUGCAAGGGGCUCCACAGUUGGGGCAGAGGGAAAGCUUGGCUCACUCACCUGGAUCUUAGAGGGCAGAGAUUUUUGAUUGCUUCAUUCAUGUUUAAAGAACUCAUCUUAAACUAAUGUAUAUCUAGCACUAGAAACUGGUGCUGGUGGUUUAUAACUGACCCCACCCAUCCCUGUCUUUUGCAAUAAUCUUUGUGAGUGGUGAUUGUGUUUCUAGAAGUAGAAUUACAGAGAGAGAUUCCCUGAAGGCAAAUACAGAGCGAGUGUGCUGUACACUCUAGUUCAGAUACUCAGGGCUGGGAACUCCCAGAGAGAGAGAGAGAGAGAGAGAGAGAGAGAGAGAGAGAAA